rnacentral:rRNA from 1 species
UACGUAGGGGGCGAGCGUUGUCCGGAUUUAUUGGGCGUAAAGCGCUCGCAGGCGGCCCGAUGCGUCGGGCGUGAAACACCCCGGCUCAACUGGGGAGGGUCGUGCGAUACGGUCGGGCUUGAGGCCAGUAGGGGGAUGCGGAAUUCCGGGUGUAGUGGUGGAAUGCGUAGAGACCCGGAGGAACACCAGCGGCGAAGGCGGCAUCCUGGACUGGUACUGACGCUCAUGAGCGAAAGCGUGGGGAGCGAUCCGG